UUUACUUGAUUAUAUAAAGCUCAGAUACCACAAAAAUACAGAAUUAAAAACCUCCGGCGGGCUCGUAAAGACUCCCCUGAGCCAGCCCACCGAAGCAACUAAGUAAAUAGACAAAGGGUUGGAGUUUUUACGCUCUCUAAUGAUCCCUCCGCUGGUUCACCAACGGAGA
rnacentral:misc_RNA from 1 species